rnacentral:rRNA from 1 species
GACGAACGCUGGCGGCGUGCUUAACACAUGCAAGUCGAGCGGUAAGGCCCUUUCGGGGGUACGACGAGCGGCGAACGGGUGAGUAACACGUGGGUGACCUGCCCUCAGCUCUGGGAUAAGCCUGGGAAACCGGGUCUAAUACUGGAUAUGACUCCAUGACGCAUGUUGUGGGGUGGAAAGCCUUGUGCGGCUGAGGAUGGGCCCGCGCCUAUCAGCUUGUUGGUGGGGUGANGGCCUACCAAGGCGACGACGGGUAGCCGGCCUGAGAGGGCGACCGGCCACACUGGGACUGAGACACGGCCCAGACUCCUACGGGAGGCAGCAGUGGGGAAUCUUGCGCAAUGGGCGAAAGCCUGACGCAGCGACGCCGCGUGAGGGAUGACGGCCU